rnacentral:misc_RNA from 1 species
UCUCCGUCGGUGAACCUGCGGAGGGAUCAUUACUGGGUGAGGACCUCUGGCCCGACCUCCAACCCUUUGCUGUCCGACUAUGUGGCAUCGGGGGCGACCCGGCCCUCGAGCCCGGGGCCCCCCGUGGGCCACUCAACUCUGCAUCUUUGCGUCUGAGUAAACAUUAAAUGAAACAAAACUUUAAACAACGGAUCUCUUGGUUCUG